rnacentral:lncRNA from 1 species
AGGGGCCACGUGGGGCCCGGCCGGGGCCGGGCGGCCGGGUCGGGUUCCGGGGCGGGCUGGGCCGGCGGAAGGGGUCCGGGUCCUUCCUCCGCCCCAAGCAGCCGGGGCGGUGCACCACCGGCCCCCGCUUCCUUCUCGGGGUUGGGAGGCACCGAGGGCCUCGAGGGGCUGCGGGACUCGGGCUUGGUGUGGAGGGCAAGAGCGCUGCGACGUGCGGACUGGAGAGUCAGCCUUUGGGCUGGAGACACGGGAGCGGGUGGCUACAGUGGUUUACGUUGUUGCACGGGGCGAGUAGAACGUAUCCUUCUUUGCGUCCAAAAUCUGGUUCCUUGUUGGAUUUGAACAGAUUAUGUGGCUCGUCGGGGCGAACCGAGGGUUUUUAUUUACUUGGAAAGAAUCAUCACAGCCCGCGAAUUCACAAGCUGGAUUUAGCCAUUUUCCCUUAGAUUCUGCGCCAUGAGCCUAUAGGCUGUUGAAUACGAGAGAAGUGCUUUUCUAAACGAGUUUCUAAAUUUACCAGCAGUGUCCAGGAAGAGGCCCAGAACAUACAUAUUCAGCACCAGAAAAGACUGGCACGCAAUUUUUCUUGACAAACUGGGUCUUGCUCUUUGAAGGGUGGGUGGGAAUGUGCUGUUUUUAUGAGAAUGUCAAAGAACUUCUCAGAAUCACAUUAAGCAUGCUAAUUACCAAAUAUUAAAUGCUAAUUGUUCCACACGCAGUUCGAAUGCCAAGGAAGGAAGAUGAAACUAGUAUAAGCUACUCUUGACAUUAUGUCAGGGAUGGUUUUGACACGUUUUGCAGCCUCCACCUGGAGGUGGGGAACGUUUCCUGUGUCGUCCCCAGAGCAGAGUAACAGCGUUGUUUAUGGGUGAGAGCAAGCCUCAAGCCUAGGCAACAAUGUGCCUUGCUUGCUUUUAAGCUCCUUCUAAAGGGGAGGUAAACCAAGACCGCUAAAGAAUUGCUAGGUGCCUGGGCGUGAUGGUUCACCCCGGUAAUCCCAGCACUGUGGGAGGCGGAGGCGGAGGCGGGCGGAUCACGAGGUCAAGAGAUCAAGACGAUCCUGGCCAACAUGGUGAAACCCCGUCUGUACUAAAAAUACAAAAAUUAGCUGGGCAUGGUAGUGCGCGCCUGCAGUCCCAGCUACUCGGGAGGCUGAGGCAGGAGAAUCGCUUGAACCCGGGAGUUGGAGGUUGCAGUGAGCUGAGAUUGCGCCACUGCACUCUAGCCUGGGCAACGAUAGUGAAACUCCGUCUCAAAAAAAAAAAAAAAAAAUUGCUAGGCAGCUGGGCACAGGGGCUCAGGCUGAUAAUACUAGAAUUUUGGGAGGCCGAGGCAGGAGGACCGCUUGAGCCCAGGAGUUCGAGACCAGCCUGGGCAACAUAGCAAGACUGUCUCUAAAAAAUAAAAAACAUUGCUAGGCAACAGCUUCCAUGGACUUGUUCCAGGAACGAAGAUUAUUCUUGAAAUGUCCACGUAGUGGAUAAGACAGAGUCAAUCAGUGUGUCCAGUGCUACAGGCUUGAUUGGGUUCAAUCCUGUACUUGGGUCAAGGUGUUUGCCUACAUUGCCUGUACUUCCUCCAAGACAUUUCUGCCUCUGGGUUGUAACUGCCCGUGUACUUGUCUGUGUUCCCUAAGCCAGAUCAUAAGCUCUGAAGCUGAGGAUGGUGGCUGUAGAUGGCAGUACUUGUCUGUGUUCCCUGAGCCAGAUCAUAAGCUCUGAAGCUGAGGAUGGUGGCCGUAGAUGACAGGCCUGGAUGCAGCCAGGUGCCUUGUGGAUCAGCUUGCUUUUAGGUGGUGAAGGACUGACCAUAGACAGUGGCCCUGGCAUUCCAGGACACUGCAUGGGGGAAAGUGGAGGGCCAGGUCCAUCCCAUCCCCUCUAUAAGCUGGACAAAGCUGCUCCAGCAUGUGGGUCCUCACAUGAAAAAGGCCACAUUGACAUCCUUUGUCCUCCUGUAGAGGGAGUGAAACUGAGAGGCCUCAGCCUCAAGCAGGCACAGAACUUGAGACCUCUCGGCCAGAGUGUACAGACAUUGCACAAACCUUCCAAGUUCAGAGAAGACAAAAGCCCUGAGUAAAUUACAGACAAAAAAGCCCCCAAAUAUACAGCACUGUGAAUCCAGAAAUGCCACCUGACUUCAGGUCACAAGGAAGAAAAACUGAUUUUGCCAGAAGUAGCCAUUAUUGCACAGCCCAGUUAUAAUCACAACUGACGUUAAAGUCAGGCCAGAUGACCACAGAAGUCUACAGAAAAAAACCAGGAUUGGCCACGCGUGGUGGCUCACGCUUGUAAUCCCAGCAGUUCGGGAGGCCAAAGCGGGUGGAUCACCUGAGGUCAGGAGUUCAAGACCAGCCUGGCCAAGGUGGUGAAAUUCCAUCUCUACUAAAAAUACAAAAACUAGCUGCCAUUGUGGCGUGCACCUGUAAUCCCAG